GCAAGUCGAGCGAGAAAGCCCUUCGGGGUGAGUAAAGCGGCGGACGGGUGAGCCCUCAUUAGGAAUCUACCCAGUAGUGGGGGACAACUAGUGGAAACGCUAGCUAAUACCGCAUACGCCCUAAGGGGGAAAGCGGGGGAUCUUCGGACCUCGUGCUAUUGGAUGAGCCUGCGUAAGAUUAGCUUGUUGGUGAGGUAAUGGCUCACCAAGGCGACGAUCUUUAGCUGGUCUGAGAGGAUGAUCAGCCACACCGGGACUGAGACACGGCCCGGACUCCUACGGGAGGCAGCAGUCGGGAAUAUUGCGCAAUGGGCGAAAGCCUGACGCAGCCAUGCCGCGUGUGUGAAGAAGGCCCUAGGGUUGUAAAGCACUUUCAAUUGGGAGGAAAAGCUAAUGGUUAAUAACCAUUAGCCCUGACGUUACCUUUAGAAGAAGCACCGGCUAACUCCGUGCCAGCAGCCGCGGUAAUACGGAGGGUGCAAGCGUUAAUCGGAAUUACUGGGCGUAAAGCGCGCGUAGGCGGUUUUUUAAGUCGGAUGUGAAAGCCCCGGGCUCAACCUGGGAACUGCAUCCGAUACUGGAUGACUAGAAUGCGGGAGAGGGAGGUAGAAUUCCAUGUGUAGCAGUGAAAUGCGUAGAUAUAUGGAGGAAUACCAGUGGCGAAGGCGGCCUCCUGGCUCGACAUUGACGCUGAGGUGCGAAAGCGUGGGGAGCAAACGGGAUUAGAUACCCCGGUAGUCCACGCCGUANACGAUGUCUACUAGCUGUAGGGGUACUUGAGACCUUUGUAGCGCAGCUAACGCAAUAAGUAGACCGCCUGGGGAGUACGGCCGCAAGGUUAAAACUCAAAUGAAUUGACGGGGGCCCGCACAAGCAG
rnacentral:rRNA from 1 species